GGAAGGACAAGCUAAAAGAAAGGCUUCUCUCUUAGCAGCUCGUGAGAGCAUCCACAGCAGCAGACCUGCGCUUCUCCCCCACACGCCCCCUCUCUGUGUUUCCACUGGGGAAACUGGAUCUGUCCCAAACUGUUUUUUCUUCCRUAUCCGCAACUGGUCAGCAGGACACACGGGGAACAGCGUUUCUCUUCUCCAGUCCAUACAGCAGGACCUGCUGGGAGCAAUAGCUCUUUCUCCAGUAUGACUGUAGCAAGUCCAGCCCAGAGCUACAGCUUUUAAAUGCAGCUAGGACUGUGUAAGCAGCUCUUCUGCCUCCUCCCUCUACUCCACUGAUUCCAUCCCCUCUCCCAGAAACCGGACAGCGGGUGCUUUUACACCAGCCACAUUUGUAGCAGGAACUUCUUCUGACAGCAUUUGCUGAAGUGCAUGGAAACAAGGGAUGGGUUCACUCAGAAAUGAGGAGCCUGCCAAAGAGCCUCUGACUAUGGAGGUUUUAUCUCAGAAGGGAUCGGCACCUCUGGCAAAUGUUGAUAUGAAAGCUUUAGAAGAACUAUGGAUCCAAAGGUAAGGAAGCGCAUGCUCAGGGUGCUCACUAUGCCCUUCUGCUGAAGAAUACAGGCAGAGCGGCAUCAGGGCAAAAAGGCUUGGUUUUUUGCAGGACAGCUGGACUAAGCUAUAGCUAUUGAUCCAUGCCUUCUCACCCAGACUUGCAGUGCUAUUUUCAAUUUUAUUUUAAUGCUAUGUAUCAUAUAAUACUAGAACUGUGGUACAAAAGGCCCUUAUCUGUAUAAGAUUGGAGAAAAAAGUGAAGGAGAAGCAGGGGAGAAACAAAAAGACAGUGGGGAAGACUGAAAAGAGGGGAAAUGUGAUGUAGAAUCAGCCAGUGGGUUAAGCAAAGACUGCAGAUUGCCUCAAGCAGCUUAUCGAGAGAAAAAAGA
rnacentral:lncRNA from 1 species